UACGGGGGGGGGCAAGCGUUGUUCGGAAUUACUGGGCGUAAAGGGCUCGUAGGUGGCCAACUAAGUCGGACGUGAAAUCCCUCGGCUUAACCGGGGAACUGCAUCCGAUACUGGAUGGCUUGAGUUCGGGAGAGGGAUGCGGAAUUCCUGGUGUAGCGGUGGAAUGCGCAGAUAUCAGGAGGAACACCGGUGGCGAAGGCGGGUCUCUGGGCCGUUACUGACGCUGAGGAGCGAAAGCGUGGGGAGCGAACAGG
rnacentral:rRNA from 1 species